rnacentral:rRNA from 1 species
GACGAACGCUGGCGGCGUGCCUAAUACAUGCAAGUCGAGCGAAGCGGCGGAUGGGUAAGUAAUGCGUGGCUAACCUGUCUUUAAGUCUGGGAUACUAUUUGGAAACAGAUGAUAAUACCGGAUAUUUAAGGAUGGACCUGCGAUGCAUUCGCUAGUUGGUAAGGUAACGGCUUACUAAGGCGAUGAUGCAUAGCCGGUUUGAGAGACUGAUCGGCCACAUUGGGACUGAGACACGGCCCAAACUCCUACGGGAGGCAGCAGUAGGGAAUCUUCCACAAUGGACGAAAGUCUGAUGGAGCAACGCCGCGUGAGUGAAGAAGGUUUUCGGAUCGUAAAGCUCUGUUGUUGGUGAAGCGGUAAUCAACCAGAAAGUCACGGCUAACUACGUGCCAGCAGCCGCGGUAAUUC